AGUGAACGCUGGCGGUAGGCCUAACACAUGCAAGUCGAACGGCAACACAGUAAUAGCUUGCUCUUACGGAUGGCGAGUGGCGGACGGGUGAGGAAUACAUCGGCAUCUACUUUUCCGUGGGUGCUCACGUAGGUAACCUUACGCUACUAACGCUUAUACCCUACGGGACAAAGAAGGGAAUCUUCGUAAUUUGCGCGAUUGUAUGAGCCGAUGUCGGACUAGCUAGUUGGCGGGUUGAAGGCCAACCAAGACGACGAUCCGUAGAUGGUCAGAGAGGAUGAGAAGAGACACUGGAACGGAGACGCGGUCCAGACGCCUACGGGAGGCACCAGGCGGGAAUAUUGGACAAUGGGCGCAAGCCUGAUCCAGGCAUACCGGGUGGGUGAAGAAGGCCGUCGGGUUGUAAAGCCCUUUUGGUGGGAAAGAAAAGCAGCAGGUUAAUACCCCGCUGUCCUGACGGUACCCAAAGAAUAAGCACCGGCUAACUUCGUG
rnacentral:rRNA from 1 species